GCGGGUGUAGUUUAGUGGUAAAACUACAGCCUUCUAAGCUGUUGUCGUGGGUUCGAUUCCCAUCACCCGCU
rnacentral:tRNA from 1 species